AACGUAGCCCAACCAACAAAAACCAGUAGCAGAAACGACAGGAGAGCUCUAGAGACCUUGCGCCCCAACUGUAAUCCAAGAAAAUCCCCCUCUCGAAAGCAGCAACAUCGAAUGGGAAAAGACGUCAAAAAUCACAAUUAUCACCCAUCAGUUCAACAGAUAACAUCUUAAGAACCAAAAAAAUCUUAGAUAUGCAACCCUGCUUGAAAACACACACAGUUAGUUUCCUUUAUAACCCUUUUCACUCUCCUCUUCAACUCUCCGACCUUUUGUCUCCGUCAAGUAGUUCGUCCAUCUCCGCUCAGCAUCCGCCACCACUGCAGUGCCAUAAGGAACCAUCUGCAACAAAUAAGUGUUCUCCCCUUUUUUAAUACCUUCAGUAGCAAUAAUGUGAGCAACCUCGUUGGCUUCCAUGUUGAUGAAAAGAAAACCACAAUAUUUGAAACCCAUGGACAAUUUCUUUGAAUCUUCAAUGAACUCAGCAAUCGCAGAUCUAUUUUCUUUCGUCUCUUGCAGCUUACAAAUAACCGACCAAGAGUCACCCUCAACUCUACGUCCCUCAACCCAAGGUGUAAACCCAGAUUGAUUGUCUGGAGACAAGCCAACGCUUCAGCUACGAAACCAGAAAGUAUAUUCGCAUUAAUAAUAGUUUUUGAACAAAUAACUUCUCCGUUUCUAACCACUAACCCAGAACACGAUUCAUUUUUUUGUCUAUUGAAAGCUGCGUCAAAAUUGAUCUUAAAUCUCAACCCUUGUGGAGCAACCUAUCUGGUCGUGUGGAUCCUUCUUUCAGGUUGCAUACCCUAUCAUUCUUCGAUAAUGUAAAUUGCAGAUAGUUACGUGAGCAUCUCCAAAUUGUAAUCUUUAUUUUAGAGGUAAAUCUAAGUUCCAUAAUCUCUUGUAAAAUUGUUUGUAACUACCCUGUACUUGAGCCUUGCCAUCAUGUAAAAGAACUUUGUGCCCACUUCAAACUGAAUACUCUCCGGUCGAUUCUCCUCGCCAGAUGAUGUAGUCUUCAUGCAAACUCAAAGAGAAAGGGAUACAUAAAAUCCUCUUUGCAUCAUUCUCCGAAAAGGAACCAAGCAUCAUUCCAAAUAGAACAGUCUGACUAUCACCGAUCAUUCAUCCCAAUCCUUUCAAAAGGAGUCCCAUCACAGCCCACAGACUCUGCCAGGUAAAGGACAGUAAAUUACCCAACCUUAGAUUUUAAAAAAUCAGAAUCUUUAUAAUAUUUAGCCUU